UGUAUUCAGUUUUCAUUAUAUGAAGAAAAUGAGAGCCUGCGCCACCAUCAAAGUAAAAAAAACCCUUUAGGAAUGAACGAUAAUGGAUCGGACAAACACAUGAUCGAAAUUGGCAGUAAAAAUCUUAUUUCGAUAUUGUUUAGCAGUUUAAUGUCGGUUGUCAAGUCACAGAGCCUGAACUAUGCUGAACCAACUUUCGCCCAAAAAGGCAAAAACGAGGAAGAAACUAACAGGUGGCCCAGCUAAAGUGGAAGAAUGGAAAGAAGUGGAAUACACUUGUAGGAUGGCAGUUAUUUCAAGAACCCUGUCUUGAGUUCUUAGAAGUUGCUAUAUUCGUGUUGAUGAAAAUCCAUUGGAUGUACCGCUUGAUGUGCUUGCAAGUCACUCCACUUCUCGUCCAGUAUACAUGAUGUACCCAGAGAAAGGAUAUAAACAUAAAUUACACAAAAGUAUUUGCUUAGAAAAUGGAAAAGUUAACAUGAACUGAAGCCUACCAUAUGUAUUAUAUGACAGUGUUGGUGUAUUGAAAACUGAAUGAGUGACAUUCAAUAAAUACACACUUGUUUGAAAUUUUUGUUUGUUUAU